rnacentral:rRNA from 1 species
GACGAACGCUGGCGGCAGGCCUAACACAUGCAAGUCGAGCGAGGACUUCGGUCCUAGCGGCGGACGGGUGAGUAACGCGUGGGAACGUGCCCUUUGCUUCGGAAUAGCCCUGGGAAACUGGGAGUAAUACCGGAUGAGCCCUUUGGGGGAAAGAUUUAUCGGCGAAGGAUCGGCCCGCGUUGGAUUAGGUAGUUGGUGGGGUAAUGGCCUACCAAGCCGACGAUCCAUAGCUGGUUUGAGAGGAUGAUCAGCCACACUGGGACUGAGACACGGCCCAGACUCCUACGGGAGGCAGCAGUGGGGAAUCUUAGACAAUGGGGGAAACCCUGAUCUAGCCAUGCCGCGUGAGCGAUGAAGGCCUUAGGGUUGUAAAGCUCUUUCAGCUGGGAAGAUAAUGACGGUACCAGCAGAAGAAGCCCCGGCUAACUCCGUG